GUGAAAGAUGAUAAGAAAGUACUACUUUUUCUCAAGGGCUGAAGUUGGAAACUAUUUAAAACCUUACAAACCCCAGAGCUGAUCCCUAUUCUUUGAGUAGCAGCAGGAGUGUGGCUGUUAUGGCUUGACAUGGAAAUGAGGAACAAGCUCUGCUCCCCAGCAGGUGCUCAGGUGGAAAUCUGCAGAAUGGAAUUUGGGCUUUUCCCACCAGAAAAGUCCUCACUGUAGGCAGAUGUUUCUUCUGUUCUUCUCAGAGCAGUGCAAGUGGUUGGACACUGAAGCUCAAAGAAGAGGGAACUAAGAUCCCUGACCUGGAUAAAGCCACAGGUGAGUGCACUGGAGAAGUUCUUCCACCAAAAGCAGUUCUUGUAAGGCUUCUCAGCCCUUCACAGGAAAUCAG